AUUGGAAGUCCCUGACGAACACGCGCUCCUCUGCGGAUGGCCUCUCCAUGCUCGCUCCAGGCGCCCUCUCGGAGAUGCUGCGCAGGCUUCUCGAGGAAAACUUCCCGUGGCAGAGGCGACAGUGACCCAUGGCGAGAGCCCGGCCUGCUCCUGCACAGAGCGGCAGGAAGUGUUAGCAGCCGGCAAAGGAGGCUCCUGAGCAGAGGGCGUCCUGGACUCCAGGUCCGAGGGCAGCGCCUGCAUCGCCCUUCGCGAGGCCCCCGGACACAGCAAGCGGCUCGGGCGCGCGGCUCUCGGCGGGACAAGCCGCCCUUUGGGGGAUGUGGCCGCUGGUCCAAGAAAUCUUUCAAAUUUCAAAGGUCUCUAAGGCCUCCCCAACGAAGUAACUUCACGAGUGAAACCUGGAACUGCACCCUCCUCCCAGCGACCGCGAGACCCGGGGAAGGCGCUGCGCCCUCCAGGAAACGCCGCGGUUUCCUGUCUCCCAAGUGCAGGUGCCGCCUCCUUUCCUGCUCCCCGAGGACACGAAGCCGGGGAGCGCGAUUCCCACGCGCGGGCACCCCAGGGCGACCUGCCCACGGUGACAGCGCUCCUCACGCCAGGUCCCUUCUAGACAAGCCCGCGGCCGGGGAGGCCGGGCCGGCGACGCCAGCGUCACGGAGCGCGAGGAAAACCGAGCCGGCCGCCCAGCGCCUAUCCAGACGCAGCCCCGAGUCGGCUACGCACUUGGCCGGGUGGAGGGGAGGCCGCGCCGGCUUCCGGGCGUCAGUGCAGCUCCGCCCACGCGCAGACCCAGCCGCGACCCCAGCCCGCCACGCCCCGGCCGCGGACCCACCUGCCUCGUCCGCGCCGUCCUCGCCCGCGUCCCCGCAGGACCCCACCGGGCCCCAGGAGCGCCGCACCGUCGCCCGGUCCACCCUCGGCCCGCCGCUGAGGGAAGGGCGGCCCCGAGCCCGGCCGCCGCCGCCGCCGCCGUCCGAGGCCCCGCGCUGCUGGGCCGCCCCAGGGGACAGGAAGCGGCCCAGCCGGUCCCGCUUCAUGGCAGCGGAGGACGCCAGCAGAACCCCGCGGGGGCUGCCCGGCCCGAGGUUCCUAGAGGACCCGGCGUUCGGCUCCGCUCGGCGCGCUGGAAGCGAGGCGGGGCGGGGGAGGGGCGGAGCGAGAAGCAAAGCGAGGCAGGCGGGGCGGGCCAGGAGCCAGGGGCGGGACCUCGCCGGCCGAGGUUCCACCCGCGGUGCCAGCGCCCCCGCUCGUACCGCUCCCCUCUCCGGCCCGAGGACGGCCGUGCCCGCUGCUGUCGCCAAUGGAGCGCUGGCCUGGGGCGGGGCGGUGGGCGGAGGGGCUUGCCGAGACCUCACGACGAGUCCUCCAGGGAGAGGCGACGCGGCUCUCCUCGCCUCUUACCGUGGGAGACGGACGCGUGGGGCGGGCAGGGGCCGGCGGAGGCCACGCGGCGCGCAGGUGGCGGGCGGGCUGCAGAAAGGGGAGGGGGGCCGGGGUCUCACGUACAGAGGGGCUUGGCUGCCGCGGUUAGACGCCCAUGGGAACUCCGUGAGGGGCCUUCUCGCCAGCCCGGUCUCGAGACGGCGAAGGGGCCCGGCCCCGUCGCGCCAACCCGCCCGGGCUCUGCCGCCCCCGCCACGAACACCCGUGGGGCCCGAAGUACGCGCGGAGGGGGCCCGUCGCCGGAAGUGCGGCCCCGUCCCUUCCGGCGGUCCGCUGCUCUGGCAGCUCCCGCACCCGCGCCGGCGGCGUUCCGGUCCCGCGGCCGCCCGUCCAGCCCCUCGGCUACCGUCGCCGCCUCCCCCGCCCGGCGCCAUGGCCGCUGCGGCCGGGGACGGCACAGUGAAGCCGCUGCAGAGCGCCAUGAAGCUCGCCAACGGGGCCAUCGAGCUGGACACCGGCAACCGGCCCCGGGAGGCAUACAUGGAAUACCUGAGGAGCAUCCACUAUAUCUCCCAGGUGUUACUAGAAGAAGUGGAAACCACUAAAGUAGGUAGCAGUGAUAGAGCCGCCUGUGACCAGCCUCCUUGUCCCCCCCCAGAAGCUGGGGAAACUGCACCCGCCGACACCUCCAAGAUGCUGAAGCUAGCACAGCAGUGUCUGGAGAGGGCCCAGUCGACGGCCGCCAAGCUUGGGAAAACACGCCUGAAGCCAACCAUGCCUGCAGCUGCUCCCAUCCCCCAGCCUGCCGGCAGACACCGCCGUGUAUACUCCGACGAAGGGGGAAAGCUCUCUCCUUUUCUGCCACCCGAGAUCUUCCAGAAGCUUCAAGGGGCAGAGUCACAAAGCUGUAAGAAAGAGCUGACGCCACUGGAGGAGGCCUCCCUGCAGAAUCAGAAGCUGAAGGCUGCGUAUGAGGCCCGAAUGGCCCGGCUAGACCCCAGCCAGGCCAUGCAGAAGACAUCCCUGACCCUCUCUCUACAGCGGCAGAUGAUGGAGAACCUAGUGAUUGCCAAAGCCCGGGAGGAGACACUCCAGAGAAAGAUGGAGGAGCGCCGGCUGCGGCUCCAGGAGGCCGCCAACAGGAGGUUUUGCAGCCAAGUCGCCCUGACCCCGGAGGAACGGGAGCAGCGGGCCCUUUACGCCGCCAUCCUGGAGUACGAACAGGACCAUGACUGGCCGAAACACUGGAAGGCCAAGCUCAAGAGGAAUCCGGGGGACCUGUCACUCGUGACCAGUCUGGUCUCACACCUGCUCAGCCUCCCCGACCACCCGAUCGCGCAGCUCUUGAGGCGGCUGCAGUGCUCCGUGUACAGCACCCUGUAUCCCGCCGUGAGCAGAGCAGCCGCGCCAGCCCCAGGCUGCUGCCCCCUGACCCCCAACCCCGGAAGCCGACGGCUGCGGCCCUCGCAGAGCCUCCAUUGCAUGCUGUCCCCGCCCGAGCCCAGCGCAGCCCCGCGGCCCCAGGACAGUCCCCCCACGCCCCCACUCCAACCCGGCCCCGUGGGGUCUCCCUCGUCCCUGGGGGACACCGCAUCUGGAUUGCCAGACAAGGACAGCUCGUUCGAGGACCUGGAGCAGUUCCUGGGGACGUCUGAGCCGCAGGGCCGGGGCCGUGGGGUGCAGCCAGAGCCCCAGCUGCAGCAGCUGAAGAGCGCCGUGGAGGAGAUCCACAACGCCAUUGCAGACAGGCUGCUCUCGCUGACCCUUCUGGCCUUCGAAGGCCUAAACACAGCUGCCUCCAAGGACCGGUGCCUGGCAUGCAUUGAGGAGCCCUUUUUCUCCCCGCUGUGGCCUCUGCUGCUGGCCCUGUACAGGAGCGUGCACCGAGCCCGGGAGGCUGCCCUGAGCAGGAGCAUGGAGCUCUACAGGAAUGCACCCCCCACCGCCAUUGGCAUCCCCACCAAGCUCCUCCCCCAGAACCCUGAGGCCAAGGGGGCCACUGGCUACCCCUACUGCGCAGCGGCCCAGGAGCUCGGACUGCUGGUCCUGGAGAGCUGCCCCCAGAAGAAGCUGGAGUGCAUAGGUCAGCAGUGCGGACCCUGCGGAUCAUCUGUGUCUGUGCGGAAGACUACUGCCCCACGCCGGAGGCCACACCCCAGGCCGGCCCCCAGCCCAUCGCUGCAGCUGCCAUUGGUGCCGAUGACCUGCUGCCCAUCCUGUCCUUCGUGGUGCUGAGGAGCGGCCUCCCUCAGCUGGUGUCGGAGUGCGCGGCCCUGGAGGAGUUCAUCCACGAGGGAUACCUAAUCGGAGAGGAGGGGUACUGCCUGACAUCACUGCAGAGUGCCCUGAGCUACGUGGAGCUGCUGCCCCGGGGAGGCCUGGCCAAGUAGUAGAGCCACAGCCCAGGGCCCCUGCAGGGCCUGGCCUCGCCUCCCAGGGCUGUCUCUCCUACACCUGGAGCCAUGGGAUCUACUGAGGACCAUCCUGGAGCCUCACGCUGCUCUGCACAUGGCAGGGGCUUGUCCACUGUGGUGUGCUCUCCAGCCCUUCCCCUUCCUCACCUCACAUCUGACCCUGGGGCUUGGGGUUGGCAACUCUGCCCCAACAGAUGGGGCUGAAUCAGCUCCAGGAGGAACCAGGCCCUGCUCUCCUGUGUAGGCCUCAGAGAGGCCGAGAAGGGAGGCUUUGGGCUUCGAUGGGUGCAGGCUCAGUGAUGAGCAUCUGGCUGGGGCAGCCCCUGGGGAGCAUCAGGGAAGAGGGGGCCGUGGAGGCUAGCGGUGGAGACAGCAGUCCAGUUUCUCUCCCCUCUGACCCCUAGAAGGGGACUUGUAGCCCCAUGAACUAGUUUGUCUGGGUCAGGAACAAGGGCCGGCUGGGGCCUGGGGUGCAGCUAGUGUGAGGGUGUGCUGUUUGCUGAUGGGCAGAGACACCCCGGCGGGGUCUGGGGCUCUGAGCCCAGGACACUCCCUGCGCCUUGCUCACCUUGGCUGUGGGCUGUGAACAUUCCGGGACCCUGGGCAUCUUAUCUAGAUCUAUGCAGCCCAAGGGUCAGCCCUCUUGACUGUCACAUGCUGCCCCUACCCAGCCUAAAAUAAAGAGCUCACUGCUGUGC